AGUCACUAAGUCCGGGGCUUCCCAUGUGUGCAGUGGUUCCUGGUACUUAUGGAGAUUUGCCACAAACACAGAAGCAGGAUGUGGUCUUCACCACGACCAAUAAAAACAAUUUAGGAUGAGAUUCAAUGCUACAAAAAUCUCAUAAGAUUCUGUUGCCCUCAUCCUUUCAUGGACUACUCUUGUUUGGCCUACAUGGUGUCAAAACCUGGUCACUCUUGCAUAUGGACUAAGUGUGCUGUUUCUAAGCAAUGGGCACUUAAUUGGGGUUUACACUUAUGUAUGGCAAUAAUCAUACUAAUCUGUAUGCACAAAAAUAAUUUCACUGUGCCUUGGUACACAUGAUAAUUAAAAAGAACCAUUGACCAUUGGUAUUUGACCUACAU